rnacentral:rRNA from 1 species
UAUUGGACAAUGGGGGGAACCCUGAUCCAGCGACGCCGCGUGAGUGAAGAAGUAUCUCGGUAUGUAAAGCUCUAUCAGCAGGGAAGAAGAAAUGACGGUACCUGAGUAAGAAGCCCCGGCUAUCUACGUGCCAGCAGCCGCGGUAAUACGUAUGGAGCAAGCGUUAUCCGGAAUUAUUGGGUGUAAAGGGUGCGUAGACGGGACAGCAAGUUAGUUGUGAAAGCCCUCGGCUUAACUGAGGAACUGCAACUAAAACUAUUGUUCUUGAGUGCAGGAGAGGAAAGCGGAAUUCCUAGUGUAGCGGUGAAAUGCGUAGAUAUUAGGAGGAACACCAGUGGCGAAGGCGGCUUUCUGGACUGUAACUGACGUUGAGGCACGAAAGUGUGGGGAGCAAACAGG